AUCAUUGCAACAUUGCAUGAGGGAGACAGGCAUUUCAACUCAGCAAAAAGCCAUUAGACUUGUCACUAUCCACUCGCCUCGAUCAAUUUACAUUAAAACUAGAAAUCCAUUGGCCAGUAACGCAUAAAAGAUCAUCCUUUAGGGCUCAAAAGGUACAAAAAUGAGUGGCCAACUGAAUUCCACCAAUAUGAGGACUUUAAGACCCUCAAGAAAACUUGCUGCUUUAGUUUCUACUGCCCCGAACUAACUGAACCUAAUGAAACAAGGAAGAGUUCCCUGCUACCAAAUCCAUUCGUCUUCCAGCGUACACUAAUGCAUUGUUCUACGAGAUCCUCCCUUCAGCAUGAUGAUGCCACAGAAAUGCACCUCACUUUCCGGUCCACAACAUCACAUUAAACCCUAGAAGACUCGAGAAGAAGUCAAGUUUUCAUCUCGAAAUCAUUCAAUCACGGAUAGUGAGCCUAAAAGUCUUGUCACUUCCCUAAAAUUUGCCACGGCAAAAUUAGAAAUACCCAUUCUCGGAGAUCUAACAUCUCAUAGACAUCAAGGAACCGCUCACAGAACCAAUCUAGGACAGACGAAAUAAAUAGUAUACAUUUGGAGGAUCAUCGAAAGGGGAAAAGGAAACUUACGAGUCGAGAGACCGCUUUGCUUCUCCCCUUCGUCCUCUAAUUACUGCAAUCAUCGAUGGCGUGAGAUGGUCGAAAGAUGGUUUUAGAGUUCUUGAAGCCGGCGAAUCAAUUAGUAGUGGAGAACUUCGAAUCCUCUUCUGUA
rnacentral:lncRNA from 1 species